CAGAAAGUAGUUUAAGUAGAAUGCCAGCUUUGGGUGUUGGCGGUGGAGUUAGGUGCUUUCUUUCUGA
rnacentral:tRNA from 1 species